GACGAACGCUGGCGGCGUGCUUAACACAUGCAAGUCGAACGGAAAGGCCCUGCUUUUGUGGGGUGCUCGAGUGGCGAACGGGUGAGUAACACGCGAGUAACCUGCCCUUGACUUUGGGAUAACUUCAGGAAACUGGGGCUAAUACCGGAUAGGAGCUCCUGCUGCAUGGUGGUGGUUGGAAAGUUUCGGCGGUUGGGGAUGGACUCGCGGCUUAUCAGCUUGUUGGUGGGGUAGUGGCUUACCAAGGCUUUGACGGGUAGCCGGCCUGAGAGGGUGACCGGCCACAUGGGGACUGAGAUACGGCCCAGACUCCUACGGGAGGCAGCAGUGGGGAAUAUUGCACAAUGGGCGGAAGCCUGAUGCAGCAACGCCGCGUGCGGGAUGACGGCCUUCGGGUUGUAAACCGCUUUCGCCUGUGACGAAGCGUGAGUGACGGUAAUGAAUAAAGAAGCACCGGCUAACUACGUG
rnacentral:rRNA from 1 species